rnacentral:rRNA from 1 species
GACGAACGCUGGCGGCGUGCCUAAUACAUGCAAGUUGAGCGAUGAAGAUUGGUGCUUGCACCAAUUUGAAGAGCAGCGAACGGGUGAGUAACGCGUGGGGAAUCUGCCUUUGAGCGGGGGACAACAUUUGGAAACGAAUGCUAAUACCGCAUAACAACUUUAAACAUAAGUUUUAAGUUUGAAAGAUGCAAUUGCAUCACUCAAAGAUGAUCCCGCGUUGUAUUAGCUAGUUGGUGAGGUAAAGGCUCACCAAGGCGAUGAUACAUAGCCGACCUGAGAGGGUGAUCGGCCACAUUGGGACUGAGACACGGCCCAAACUCCUACGGGACGCAGCAGUAGGGAAUCUUCGGCAAUGGACGAAAGUCUGACCGAGCAACGCCGCGUGAGUGAAGAAGGUUUUCGGAUCGUAAAACUCUGUUGGUAGAGAAGAACGUUGGUGAGAGUGGAAAGCUCAUCAAGUGACGGUAACUACACAGAAAGGGACGGCUAACUACGUG